rnacentral:rRNA from 1 species
GACGAACGCUGGCGGCGUGCAUAACACAUGCAAGUCGAGCGGUAAGGCCCUUUCGGGGGUACACGAGCGGCGAACGGGUGAGUAACACGUGGGUGACCUGCCCUCAGCUCUGGGAUAAGCCGUGGGAAACCGGGUCUAAUACUGGAUAUGACUCCAUGACGCAUGUUGGUGGGGUGGAAAGCCUUGUGCAGCUGAGGAGUCGGGCCCGCGGCCUAUCAGUCUUGUUGGGGGGUGAUGGCCUACCAAGGCGACGACGGGUAGCCGGCCUGAGAGGGCGACCGGCCACACUGGGACUGAGACACGGCCCAGACU